AAGUCGUAACAAGGUUUCCGUAGGUGAACCUGCGGAAGGAUCAUUACAGUAUGAAUAGAAGGUUUUGCUGCUGGCCUUACACCAAGGCAUGUGCGCACCUUCAAAUUUCUAAUCCACAUACACCUGUGAACCUUAGACGUAGAUUGGACUCCCGGCUUCUAUUUGGAGCCGUGAGCGGUUUCUAGGAGGUUUUUCCUUCAAAAGAGACUGAGUCUGACUCGUCUACUUUAACAUAUACCCCUAAACAAGUUUUAAAUGCAUGUCUUUUUAAUGGGCUCUAUGGAGCUUAUAAACAUUAAUACAACUUUCAACAACGGAUCUCUUGGCUUCCA
rnacentral:misc_RNA from 1 species